CGGGUCAUCAUAGAGUCCCGUCCGAUCCCUAGUCGGCAUAGUUUAUGGUUAAGACUACGACGGUAUCUGAUCGUCUUCGAUCCCCUAACUUUCGUUCCCUGAUUAAUGAAAACAUCCUUGGCGAAUGCUUUCGCAGUAGUUAGUCUUCAGCAAAUCCAAGAAUUUCACCUCUGACAGCUGAAUACUGACGCCCCCGACUAUCCCUAUUAAUCAUUACGGCGGUCCUAGAAACCAACAAAAUAGAACCGCACGUCCUAUUCUAUUAUUCCAUGCUAAUGUAUUCGAGCAAAGGCCUGCUUUGAACACUCUAAUUUUUUCACAGUAAAAGUCCUGGUUCCCCCCACAGCCAGUGAAGGCCAUGGGGUUCCCCAGAAGGAAAGGUCCAGCCGGACCAGUACUCGCGGUGAGGCGGACCGGCCAGCCAGACCCAAGGUUCAACUACGAGCUUUUUAACUGCAACAACUUUAAUAUACGCUAUUGGAGCUGGAAUUACCGCGGCUGCUGGCACCAGACUUGCCCUCCAAUUGUUCCUCGUUAAGGGAUUUAAAUUGUUCUCAUUCCAAUUACGAGACCCAAAAGAGCCCCGUAUCAGUAUUUAUUGUCACUACCUCCCCGUAUCGGGAUUGGGUAAUUUGCGCGCCUGCUGCCUUCCUUGGAUGUGGUAGCCGUUUCUCAGGCUCCCUC
rnacentral:rRNA from 1 species